GACGAACGCUGGCGGCGUGCUUAACACAUGCAAGUCGAACGCUGAAGACCUGGCUUUUGUUGGGUUGGAUGAGUGGCGAACGGGUGAGUAACACGUGAGUAACCUGCCCUCUUCUUUGGGAUAACGCCCGGAAACGGGUGCUAAUACUGGAUAUUCACUGAUCUUCGCAUGGGGGUUGGUGGAAAGGUUUGUUCUGGUGGGGGAUGGGCUCGCGGCCUAUCAGCUUGUUGGUGGGGUGAUGGCCUACCAAGGCUUUGACGGGUAGCCGGCCUGAGAGGGUGACCGGUCACAUUGGGACUGAGAUACGGCCCAGACUCCUACGGGAGGCAGCAGUGGGGAAUAUUGCACAAUGGGCGAAAGCCUGAUGCAGCGGCGCCGCGGGAGGGAUGGAGGCCUUCGGGUUGUAAACCUCUUUCGCUCAUGGUCAAGCCGCAACUGUGGGUUGUGGUGAGGGUAGUGGGUAAAGAAGCGCCGGCUAACUACGU
rnacentral:rRNA from 1 species